UACAGAGGUGGCGAGCGUUAUUCGGAAUUAUUGGGCGUAAAGGGCGCGUAGGCGGCCAAGCAAGUCCCGGGUGAAAUCCCUCGGCUCAACCGAGGAACUGCCUUGGAAACUGUUUGGCUCGAGGCCGGGAGAGGGUAGUGGAAUUCCCAGUGUAGCGGUGAAAUGCGUAGAUACUGGGAGGAACACCGGUGGCGAAGGCGGCUACCUGGACCGGUUCUGACGCUGAGGCGCGAAAGCGUGGGGAGCAAACAGG
rnacentral:rRNA from 1 species